UUUGAAGGUUAUAGCACAGAUCCUGUCAUAAUGAAACUUACUGGUGGAGUGAAUCCAGAUAAUGUUUGGGUGUGGGAUAGCAAAAAAUUGCCUACUUUAACUGGGCAGGAUAUCUCCUCACAAAGAUCAUGGGUUUCUUUAUGGACAAGCACAGAAAAAUAAGAAACAUAAAUAUCUACCUUCCCACCACUGAUAGAUUUACCAGUAGAAGCUGAGAUAUUGAAGGUAGCUGGGUUGCCUGGCACUACAGGAUCAGGUGAUAUCUCAACUCCAUGGAUCUUUACAUCAUAGUUACCUUUAUUAUCACAGUACUUGACAAUAGUGGCUUGAAUUGAGGGUAAGAGCAGAUGAAUAGCAAAGAGAAGCAAAAGGGUUUGCUUCAACUGAGAAGAUGAUACAGCGUCCAUGGAUACUUUGCUAAGUUCCUUGCUUCUCAGAGACACAGGACUGA
rnacentral:misc_RNA from 1 species